ACAUCUUCUCUCUCCUCCCCUACAGGGCUACAGGGAAGAUCUAGAUCGGGCUCCUCUCUUCUCCAUCGUUUCUGGUAUGCCAAAUCCAUCACGGAGGAGAACAUACGCCAUCAUCCAAGAACCACAACCACGGCUCACUCUUCUCCCCUGGAUCCAUCAUUAAGCCAUAUGCUCCCUCCUCCCAGCUGCACCAUCGUCCUCUCCGACCCGCACGGCAUCACAACUCACAGCCAUCGAAGCCAGAGACCCAAGCUGGUGCACCCAGCGUGCUUUCGGAUGGCAUCACAUGUACCUGGUGCUCCACCAAGGGGGAAUGGGGAGGACGACGGGAGGAGGGCCAUAGGGUGGAAGGGGAGUGGCUGCCGUGCUGUGGCCACAAUCUCAACGGGAGGAGGAUCAGGGGGAGCGGAUGGUGCUCGUGGGUUUCAUCCUACGCCGAAGUAGCUGGUCGGAGCAGAGUGGCAGAUCCGCCUGAGUUGAUACAAGAUGACAAGCAGCAGCGGCCAGCUGAUUAGGCGCCACAUCAUAUACAGAAGGAGCAUCUUAGCUCCCACGAGCUGCUACUUCUUACUGCUUUUUUGGUACCUAGCAAUCACUUUGCAUUGAUGUAUUUGUUACGAUCUUGUUGAAUUAGUUUUAGCCGAAUGUAAUUCUCCAGCACUGAAAUAAUAGCCGAUGGAUUCUCAAAACUGUUCUACUUGGUGUUUCCUAACUAAUUGAAGAAGUUUCUGGACCUCA